rnacentral:rRNA from 1 species
UGCGAGCGGAGGGCAGUUCGGCUGCCCCGCGUACGGCUCAGUAACACGUAGUCAACCUACCCUUGGGUCGGGUAUAACCCCGGGAAACUGGGGAUAAUCCCCGAUAGGUGGGGGUACUGGAAAAGUCCCUCUCCCAAAGCUCCGGCGCCCAAGGACGGGACUGCGGCCCAUCAGGUAGUUGGCGGGGUAACGGCCCACCAAGCCGACAACGGGUACGGGCUGUGAGAGCAGGAGCCCGGAGAUGGAGACUGAGACACGGCUCCAGGCCCUACGGGGCGCAGCAGGUGCGAAAACUUCGCAAUGCGCGCAAGCGUGACGAGGGAACCCCAAGUGCCGAUGGUCUUUUUGAUCGUCGGCUUUUCAAGAGUUCAAAACGCUCUUGGAGUAAGAGCUGGGUAAGACUGGUGCCAGCCGCCGCGGUAACACCAGCAGCUCAAGUGGUGGUCGCGAUUAUUGGGCCUAAAGCGUCCGUAGCCGGGCCAGUAAGUCCUUUGUGAAAUCGGACGGCUCAACCGUUCGGCUUGCAGGGGAAACUACAGGCCUUGGGGCCGGUAGACGUUGAGGGUACUCCGGGGGUAGCGGUGAAAUGCUCUAAUCCCUGGGGGACCACCAGUGGCGAAGGCGCUCAACGAGAACGGACCUGACGGUGAGGGACGAAGGCUAGGGGAGCGAACCGGAUUAGAUACCCGGGUAGUCCUAGCUGUAAAGUAUGCUG